rnacentral:rRNA from 1 species
CCUACGGGUGGCAGCAGUCGAGAAUCAUUCACAAUGGGGGAAACCCUGAUGGUGCGACGCCGCGUGGGGGAAUGAAGGUCUUCGGAUUGUAAACCCCUGUCAUGUGGGAGCAAAUUAAAAAGAUAGUACCACAAGAGGAAGAGACGGCUAACUCUGUGCCAGCAGCCGCGGUAAUACAGAGGUCUCAAGCGUUGUUCGGAAUCACUGGGCGUAAAGCGUGCGUAGGCUGUUUCGUAAGUCGUGUGUGAAAGGCGCGGGCUCAACCCGCGGACGGCACAUGAUACUGCGAGACGAGAGUAAGGGAGGGGGAACCGGAAUUCUCGGUGUAGCAGUGAAAUGCGUAGAUAUCGAGAGGAACACUCGUGGCGAAGGCGGGUUCCUGGACAUUAACUGACGCUGAGGCACAAAGGCCAGGGGAGCGAAAGGGAUUAGAUACCCGAGUAGUC